rnacentral:rRNA from 1 species
GAUGAACGCUGGCGGCGUGCCUAAUACAUGCAAGUCGAGCGAACGGACGAGAAGCUUGCUUCUCUGAUGCUAGCGGCGGACGGGUGAGUAACACGUGGAUAACCUACCUAUAAGACUGGGAUAACUUCGGGAAACCGGAGCUAAUACCGGAUAAUAUUUUGAACCGCAUGGUUCAAAAGUGAAAGACGGUCUUGCUGUCACUUAUAGAUGGAUCCGCGCUGCAUUAGCUAGUUGGUAAGGUAACGGCUUACCAAGGCAACGAUGCAUAGCCGACCUGAGAGGGUGAUCGGCCACACUGGAACUGAGACACGGUCCAGACUCCUACGGGAGGCAGCAGUAGGGAAUCUUCCGCAAUGGGCGAAAGCCUGACGGAGCAACGCCGCGUGAGUGAUGAAGGUCUUCGGAUCGUAAAACUCUGUUAUUAGGGAAGAACAUAUGUGUAAGUAACUGUGCACAUCUUGACGGUACCUAAUCAGAAAGCCACGGCUAACUACGUGCCAGCAGCCGCGGUAAUACGUAGGUGGCAAGCGUUAUCCGGAAUUAUUGGGCGUAAAGCGCGCGUAGGCGGUUUUUUAAGUCUGAUGUGAAAGCCCACGGCUCAACCGUGGAGGGUCAUUGGAAACUGGAAAACUUGAGUGCAGAAGAGGAAAGUGGAAUUCCAUGUGUAGCGGUGAAAUGCGCAGAGAUAUGGAGGAACACCAGUGGCGAAGGCGACUUUCUGGUCUGUAACUGACGCUGAUGUGCGAAAGCGUGGGGAUCAAACAGGAUUAGAUACCCUGGUAGUCCACGCCGUAAACGAUGAGUGCUAAGUGUUAGGGGGUUUCCGCCCCUUAGUGCUGCAGCUAACGCAUUAAGCACUCCGCCUGGGGAGUACGACCGCAAGGUUGAAACUCAAAGGAAUUGACGGGGACCCGCACAAGCGGUGGAGCAUGUGGUUUAAUUCGAAGCAACGCGAAGAACCUUACCAAAUCUUGACAUCCUUUGACAACUCUAGAGAUAGAGCUUUCCCCUUCGGGGGACAAAGUGACAGGUGGUGCAUGGUUGUCGUCAGCUCGUGUCGUGAGAUGUUGGGUUAAGUCCCGCAACGAGCGCAACCCUUAAGCUUAGUUGCCAUCAUUAAGUUGGGCACUCUAAGUUGACUGCCGGUGACAAACCGGAGGAAGGUGGGGAUGACGUCAAAUCAUCAUGCCCCUUAUGAUUUGGGCUACACACGUGCUACAAUGGACAAUACAAAGGGCAGCGAAACCGCGAGGUCAAGCAAAUCCCAUAAAGUUGUUCUCAGUUCGGAUUGUAGUCUGCAACUCGACUACAUGAAGCUGGAAUCGCUAGUAAUCGUAGAUCAGCAUGCUACGGUGAAUACGUUCCCGGGUCU